AUUUGGGCAUCGGCUGAUUGGUGAGAAGGGCUUCAAAUAAACAUUAUCUCUUGGUUUCUUCAUCUCCUUCAUCAAGCCCCCGAAAGCAACGGCUUUUGCUCCUCCGCCGCAUAUAUCUACUGCGAUAGCUGGAGACUGGUCGCAGAGACGUGGUUCAUCCAGGUGAUUGGAUUUAGUUAACAGUUAUCUCAACGGAGACCAUUACAGUGUUUUCGCCGGUUAUGGAUCUGGACAUUAACUAACAGCUCCUCACGAAUUUAGACCACUACAUGUCUCAUGGUUAUAACAUCUUCGCCGGUCAAGAAAUGCCGUAUCGAUAUCGAUUCCGAUUACUCUACAAUCUCAGCUUCUGGUAGUAGUAGCAGUGCCGUCCACGUGGCUUCCGGUAACUCGAACGGUCAGGAGAUCGAUGAGGAUCUGCACAGCAGACAGUUCGCCGUGAACGGACGCGAGACGACAAGGCGUCUCUUUGCUUCAAAUGUUCUCAUCUCGGGGAUGCACGGCCUUGGCGCUGAGAUUGCGAAGAAUCUGAUUCUUGCUGGUGUGAAGCCUGUGACACUGCAUGAUGAGAAAGUGGUGGAGCUAUGGUACUUAUCUAGCAAGUCAUGACGGUGUGUAGUUCUCUUCAAUGGAGUUGAGAGAUGAUACAGUUGUGAUGUUGAGACUGAGAAUAGCAGUAAACAAAUUAUGUACUUCUGAAAUUCAAGUCAAGUCUGAAGCCGAAACUUCUGUUAAUCUAGGUUUUCCAGUUUAUGAAAGCGACUCAAUUCAUGGACAAAUGGAAGUAUGCAAAUAGACUUACACCAGAAAGAGGUGAAGAGAUUAAGAAUUUCAGGUGACAAUGGUUGGACAAAAUCGUUAAUUAUCGUUUUCUCCAGGCUUUUUUUCUUGGAAGAAGGCCUUGGAGAUGGUCAGCUUUGUGUAUUCUUCCGCAGCAGUCACUUCUACACCAUGAUGAAUGAUCUUCAAGUGUGACAGUGGAAGAUGGGAUCAACAUGAUACAAUUAGUAAUAUUGCGGAUAUCUUUCAGAUCCACACCAGUUUAAGUCAUAGUCAGAAUAAGUUAUACAUAUGGUGGGACUGCGAUUUCCUGGAGACCCAUGAAGCAUACGUUCCACGUCCGUUACUAGUCAAGUGCCAUCUGUCCAACCAUGACAUAAAGUGAUCAUCAGUAAAGAUGUACAUCCUGACCACAUCUUAAUGGAGUUCCAGAAGACAUAAAGACAUCCAAGAAGCUUCCAGUUCACUCAAGAGAGAAUUCAGAUGAUUCCUUCACCAUGGCACCACCGACAGCGACGUAUGAGAAGCUUGUGCACCAGAUUGAGACGUUCAGGCCCAAGGACCUACACUGAGGUCCAGAACAGGGGGAGUAGUGUGUGUUGUACUCUUUUUCCUGUCUUUGGUUUCCCUUUUACUAUAUUGGGUUUUGGGUUUUCCAAGAGAGGUUUUAAUGAGGCAAUAUUAUACACACUAUGAGCUCUAGACGGUUCUGGCAUCCAAGGGGGAGUGUUAUGAAUGUCAUGUUUGUGGAUGUCCAGCAACCAGACCCAAACCAUUAGAAUAUAGUCUAGAGUCUAGGUCCAUUUAUGGUCCACCAUGUAUUAGGCCCAUUAGGGUUUAUGAUCGAUGUAAUCCUAUAUAAGGAACCCUCUUGUUCAUUAACGAAUAACACGAAAUACUCUUUCACAAAUACACUUUCACAACAAAAAUGUGUUUUUAGUGGUGGUAAAGAUGAAUAAUGGUACUUUGAAAGUGGUAUUUUUGAAAAUUCCCCAAAAAAAUACGACAUUUAAAUAUAUAAAAAGCAUGUAAAUAAAGUAAACAUCUCAACCAUCUUUUUUUUUUUGAUAAUUGGUUUAACAUUUUAACCAUAUACGACAUUUUUAACAGAUUUUCAACAUACAGACAUGAAAUUAGUUCUCAUAUCUAUUCCAAAACAAGAUUCUAAUUUAAUAAAACCUAAUGAAUUACAAAAUAAGAACUCUACAACACAUGAAAUGAGAGAAACAAAUAUAAAUAACUAACUAAAUUUUGAAACAAUUAUUACAAGAAAAUUAGAUAGGGCAUGAAACUAAAGUAAAAUACUACUAGAAAUGUAAUAUUUUAUUAAUUUACAACACUAUUAAUCUAUAAAAAAAUAUUUUCAAAUAGCAUGAGCGAAAUUUCCAACUAAUAUUUUUAAUAAAAAA